AGUGAACGCUGGCGGUAGGCCUAACACAUGCAAGUCGAACGGCAGCACAGUAAGAGCUUGCUCUUACGGGUGGCGAGUGGCGGACGGGUGAGGAAUACAUCGGAAUCUACUUUUUCGUGGGGGAUAACGUAGGGAAACUUACGCUAAUACCGCAUACGACCUACGGGUGAAAGCAGGGGAUCUUCGGACCUUGCGCGAUUGAAUGAGCCGAUGUCGGAUUAGUUAGUUGGCGGGGUAAAGGCCCACCAAGGCGACGAUCCGUAGCUGGUCUGAGAGGAUGAUCAGCCACACGGGAACUGAGACACGGUCCAGACUCCUACGGGAGGCAGCAGUGGGGAAUAUUGGACAAUGGGCGCAAGCCUGAUCCAGCCAUACCGCGUGGGUGAAGAAGGCCUUCGGGUUGUAAAGCCCUUUUGUUGGGAAAGAAAAGCAGCAGGUUAAUACCCCGCUGUUCUGACGGUACCCAAAGAAUAAGCACCGGCUAACUUCGUG
rnacentral:rRNA from 1 species